AUUGAACGCUGGCGGCAGGCUUAACACAUGCAAGUCGAGCGGGGGAAGGUAGCUUGCUACCGGACCUAGCGGCGGACGGGUGAGUAAUGCUUAGGAAUCUGCCUAUUAGUGGGGGACAACAUCUCGAAAGGGAUGCUAAUACCGCAUACGUCCUACGGGAGAAAGCAGGGGAUCUUCGGACCUUGCGCUAAUAGAUGAGCCUAAGUCGGAUUAGCUAGUUGGUGGGGUAAAGGCCUACCAAGGCGACGAUCUGUAGCGGGUCUGAGAGGAAGUUCCGCCACACUGGGACUGAGACACGGCCCAGACUCCUACGGGAGGCAGCAGUGGGGAAUAUUGGACAAUGGGGGGAACCCUGAUCCAGCCAUGCCGCGUGUGUGAAGAAGGCCUUAUGGUUGUAAAGCACUUUAAGCGAGGAGGAGGCUACUCUAGUUAAUACCUAGGGAUAGUGGACGUUACUCGCAGAAUAAGCACCGGCUAACUCUGUGCCAGCAGCCGCCGUAA
rnacentral:rRNA from 1 species